rnacentral:rRNA from 1 species
UAUCUGUCCAUGGGUGGGGGAUAACGGCGGGAAACUGCUGCUAAUACCGCAUGACACCUGAGGGUCAAAGGCGCAAGUCGCCUGUGGAGGAGCCUGCGUACGAUUAGCUUGUUGGUGGGGUAAAGGCCUACCAAGGCUACGAUCGUUAGCUGGUCUGAGAGGAUGAUCAGCCACAUUGGGACUGAGACACGGCCCAAACUCCUACGGGAGGCAGCAGUGGGGAAUAUUGGACAAUGGGCGAAAGCCUGAUCCAGCAAUGCCGCGUGUGU